rnacentral:lncRNA from 10 species
ACACAGACCAAAUUAUAUCAACCAGUAACUGACGGUGAUCAGUAUGUAGGUGCUAACUGUUAUUGCAAUUAGUAAAGGAAGAGAGAAUGAUUAAUGCAAUAAAUUAAUUUUUUAAAAAUCAUACUUUGUUAAAUUCAGAGUAAAUGUAGUUGUUUUAUUUUUGAAAUUAGCCAGAUCGACAUUCUUACACAAAUCUAAUAAUGGUAUAAAACUCUAAACUUUUACUCCCCAACAUACAUUUUAUGUCACAAUUUAUAAAUUUUUAUAUUGUUUAUCCACUAAGAAGUUAUUGCAGCUACAGUAAUUUUUAAUACUGUUCUACAUUUUAACCUUUAUACUGGAGAUAUACAUGAUUUAUACACUACUAUUUCGAAAAGAGCAUCAGGCAUUUUAGAAAUUUCCUGUGUUGUUUAUAGACCAAUAUUUAGGUGUCGAAAAUCUCAGAGAAGAACUUUAUAAAUCAAUAGAGUGUUUCAAUGGAAUUAAAAAGAAUAGCUUGGUUAAUAGGUCAUUCCUCAACUGUGUAGUAACAAGAUAAAUUUAAAUAUAUUAUCCCACGUAGAAAAGGAUUAUCUGAAGAAAAUCAUUUUAAUAGGCUUUAUACUAGUCCGUUUUGUAUGGCUAUCACAGAAUACCACAGAAUGGAUAAGUUACAAAGGACAGAAAUUUACUUCUCACAGUUCUGGCGAGAGCCUUGACUUCACCACUAUGCCAUUUAUCCAUGUUAACAAAAUUACACUUGCAUCCCAUAGAUGUAUACAAAUAAAGAAUAAUCUUAUAAAAAUUAUACCAAUUAUUUACAAUCUCUUCCAGAAAACAGAAACAGAACAUUUUCUAACUCAUUUUAUACAACUGGUCUCAGCCUGGGCAGCAGAGUGAGACCCUGUCUCAAAAACAAAAACAAAAUAUAACACAUAUGAUCAUGUACAGUACAUAAUACUUGAUAAUGAUAAUAAGUGACUAUGUUACUGGAUUAUGUAUUCAUUAUCAUAUACUCUUUAUCAUGCCACCACACCAGCUCUACUUUUAAAAACUUUAUUGUGAAAAAGUGUGUCAUGUUACCCCAGCAGCAGCCUAAAUCCACUGUUAAUGUUGCCAGUAAGAGGUCAAGUUGAGUGACUGACUUGGACACAAAAUUUAAAAUGAUUAAGGGCGAUGAAGUGAUUACUCACCAGUCAGACAUGUCCCAUUCCACCAUAGCAAUGAUCUUGAAGAACUAGAACAAGGAGAUUAACAAAAUUUCAGAAGGGCCUAUAUUAGAUAUGGAGAAACUUCUAAAGUCCUCGGUUGAAGACCUGACAGAGAAAUGUGUCCGUUUCAGCACCAUGAUGAUCAUGGCCAAAAGAAAAAUUUUGCUAUGUUGAAGAAAAGACUCACCCCAACUACUAUGUUGAAUUUACUUCCAGCUCUGAGUGGUUCAAAGAAUUCAAGAACCACUAUUUACUACAUAAUAUAAAAGUGUGUGGUGAGUCUGCAAGUGCUGAUGUGAAGGUAGCUGAAGAACUUUUUGAAACUAGAUAAGCUGAUUGUGAAGG